rnacentral:rRNA from 1 species
AGCGACUGUGCAGGUUACCGCGGCUGCUGGCACGGAGUUAGCCGGUGCUUCUUCUGCGAGUAACGUCACAGCUAGCAGGUAUUAACUACUAACCUUUCCUCCUCGCUGAAAGUGCUUUACAACCCGAAGGCCUUCUUCACACACGCGGCAUGGCUGCAUCAGGGUUUCCCCCAUUGUGCAAUAUUCCCCACUGCUGCCUCCCGUAGGAGUCUGGGCCGUGUCUCAGUCCCAGUGUGGCUGAUCAUCCUCUCAGACCAGCUAGGGAUCGUUGCCUAGGUGAGCCAUUACCUCACCUACUAGCUAAUCCCACCUGGGCUUAUCCAUCAGCGCAAGGACCGAAGUUCCCCUGCUUUCCCCCGUAGGGCGUAUGCGGUAUUAGCAGUCGUUUCCAACUGUUAUCCCCCACAAAUGGGCAAAUUCCCAGGCAUUACUCACCCGUCCGCCGCUCGUCAUCUUCAAAAGCAAGCUUUUGAAAUGUUACCGCUCGACUUGCAUGUGUUAGGCCUGCCGCCAGCGUUC